rnacentral:rRNA from 1 species
UUCUGGCUCAGGAUGAACGCUAGCUACAGGCCUAACACAUGCAAGUCGAGGGGUAGCGUGAGGGAAGCUGCUCCCUGACGACGACCGGCGAAUGGGUGAGUCACGCGUGUCCAACCUGCCCCGUGCCCGGGGAUAGCCCUUGGAAAUGAGGAUUAAGACCCGAUAUGUGGCGCUUCCGCAUGGCGGCGCCAUGAAGCAGGCACGGGAUGGGGACGCGUCGGAUUAGCUUGACGGCGGGGCAACGGCCCACCGUGGCGACGAUCCGCAGGGGUUCUGAGAGGAAGGUCCCCCACACUGGCACUGAGACACGGGCCAGACUCCUACGGGAGGCAGCAGUGAGGAAUAUUGGUCAAUGGGCGGGAGCCUGAACCAGCCCAAGUAGCGUGCAGGACGACGGCCCUACGGGUUGUAAACUGCUUUUCCGGGAGGAUAAAGUGAGCCACGCGUGGUUCAUUGCAGGUAUCCCGGGAAUAAGGACCGGCUAAUUCCGUGCCAGCCGCCGC